AGGACCAGCGGGGAGUUGCUUACCCCCUUGAGACAUGACUGAAUAAACCUUUUGAAACUACAUCUCUCUGUCGACUCCGGGACACCAGAAGACUGCAGUAGGUACCUUGGACCCUGAGAACACAAAAAGGAGCAUCUGAGGACUCAGGUUUCUGUAGGAAAGAAAAUCAACAUGCUGAGAAAGAAAGCUCCCACCUUUGGUAUGGAACCAGAGAAAGAAGGACAACUAUAUCCAGGCACUCCUCUGCCCUGCAGAUAAGAGAAGACAUCAAUAAUCAUUUUUUUAAAAAUCAGCACAUAUUUAUCAAACAUUUACUCUGUGCCAGGCAAAAGGGAGAUAGUCUUUGCCCUCAAGGAGCUUACAUCCUACAAUGGGGUUGAGGGGAAGAUACAAUAUGUAUGCAAGUAAAUAAAUGAAAAAUAUGCACAAAAUAGAUAAAGAGUGAUUUGGGGUACUCAUCAAAUGGAGAAUGGUUAAACAAAUUUUGGUUCUUUAAUGGAAUGGGAUAUCACUGCUCCAAAAGAACCAGUAAACAUGAAAAAGCAUAUGAAGCAUAUGAAAUCAUAUUUGAACUGCUACAAAAUUCAUUAAGCAGAGUCAGUUAAACAAUA